UAAGUGCUUAGUUUUGGAGUAG
rnacentral:miRNA from 1 species